rnacentral:rRNA from 1 species
UACAGGGGGUGCAAGCGUUAAUCGGAGUUACUGGGCGUAAAGGGCGCGUAGGCGGAUAUUUAAGUCGGAUGUGAAAUCCCUGGGCUUAACCUAGGAAUUGCAUUCGAUACUAUUUAUCUAGAGUAUGGUAGAGGAAAGUGGAAUUCUCGGUGUAGUGGUAAAAUACGUAGAGAUCGAGAAGAACACCAGUGGCGAAGGCGACUUUCUGGACCAAUACUGACGCUGAGGCGCGAAAGCGUGGGGAG